GUGAGGAUUACUCCUUCAAACAUAUGCGUAAAAACCAGUAUGAAGAGAGCCUUUUCCGAUGUGAAGAUGACAGGUUUGAACUCGACAUGUUACUGGAGUCUGUCAAUGUGACUACUAAGCGUGUUGAAGAACUCCUUGAAAAGAUCAACAACAAUGUGAUCAAAGCAGACUGUCCAAUCGCAAUUGAGGAUCACCUCACUGCUCUAAAUCUGAGGUGCAUUGAACGGUUAUACGGUGACCAUGGGCUUGAUGUUAUGGAUGUGUUGAGGAAGAAUGCACCUCUUGCUCUGCCAGUUAUUUUGACCCGACUGAAGCAGAAACAGGAAGAAUGGGC
rnacentral:misc_RNA from 1 species